rnacentral:lncRNA from 1 species
GAUGAAGGGAGGAGCUGGCCAAGGAGAAUGGGUUUCUGCCCUGAUGAAUGGGUUGGGGGGUCCCCAGAGGCGCCGGUUCCCUGACUUUCCGCCACCUUCCCACCCCUCAUCUGUCUCAGGAGCCCGUUUUGGGUUCUCUGUCCUGGAAGAAUGCUCAUGCUCACUGAUGUACCAUUGCCACCACGAAGCCUCAGUGUCGCAGGAGUGACCACAGCCCAGGAGGCAAACCCAGUCCUUCACCAACACUCCCGCAGGUGUCUGCUUAUGCAGUCGUGUCUAGGGCUGUCCGCAGGGGUGUCACUGAAGUCCUUCAAUAAGAGACUGAAAACAACCGUAAAGAUAACAAAUCUAACAAAUGACACAGGUUAUUGAAAACACCCAACAUUCCAAUGGUACUUUGGGCAGCCGUACCAGUGAGGUUGGAGACUUGAGAACUGAUUGGAAAUCAUUCCCCUCUGACGAGGAUCACAUUGUUAUAGAUGGUCAGCAGCUGCAGCAGCAGCAGCAGCAGCAGGAUUGGAACAUUUGACAUUUAGAGUGUACAUUUUGCAUCAACCUUGCCUCUGACAGUGGCCACGUCAGAUUAAAGGCUUUACUGUCUCAUUAAAAUAGUGCCAUCUAGUGGUGGAUAUUUCAAACUGUAGCUAGGUGUCCUGAGGGUUGUCACAAACACUCAAGGAAGGGGUCUCCACCCAUGUAUAUGUAUAUGUGUAUACACACAUAUACACACAAUAUAAUUAUAUAUAUAUAUAAUUUAUAACAGGCAUAUUUACUUAUUUGUCUAUUCCAUCACCAAAUUUAUUUGCCAAUUAUUCCAGAAUGGGUCAAUUGAUGAUGGGGGUUGUAUUCAAGGUGUAAGGAAGGCUGCUCAGAUCUCCAGGGGUUUAUAGUCUAGAUCUUUGUAAUCCAGAGUUAAUGACUCUGACACAAGAAUGUGGGGUGUCCAGGAGACUCCAGUGUCUAAAGCUUUAGUGGCAUUGUUGGAAGUCCUACCUUCAUAUAAAGACAUACCUUGCUUGGAAGCAUGGAAGUCAGGAAGAGACCACAGAGAUGGGCCAUCUACUUGAGCUAACAUAGGAUUCCUGAACUUCUAAGAUCUCCUUUGGGUUCUCCGCAUGACUCUGGUCCUGGGUCUAAAUCAAGAACCAGAAUGGGCUUGGGAUUCACUAUGGGGUUCUCAUUCUUUCAUGGAUUUGCCUGCUGGCCCUGCUAGGAUGCAGCUAGCCGAACAUGAUGGUGUGUUGAAUGUUUCUCAGAAAAACAACAAUACAUUUUAUGUCCCUU